GAGCAUCAGCACCUUGGCUUUAGACUGCUUACUGCUUGAAACAGUCUCACAGUUACAGUAACAGUCUACAGUCAUGGCUACUGACGCCUG
rnacentral:pre_miRNA from 1 species